rnacentral:rRNA from 1 species
GACGAACGCUGGCGGCGUGCUUAACACAUGCAAGUCGAACGGAAAGGCCUCUUUCGGGGGGUACUCGAGUGGCGAACGGGUGAGUAACACGUGAGUAACCUGCCCUUGACUUUGGGAUAACUUCAGGAAACUGGGGCUAAUACCGGAUAGGAGCUCCUGCUGCAUGGUGGGGGUUGGAAAGUUUCGGCGGUUGGGGAUGGACUCGCGGCUUAUCAGCUUGUUGGUGGGGUAGUGGCUUACCAAGGCUUUGACGGGUAGCCGGCCUGAGAGGGUGACCGGCAACAUUGGGACUGAGGUACGGACCAGACUCCGACGGGAGGCAGCAGUGGGGAAUAUUGCACAAUGGGUGGAAGCCUGAUGCAGCAACGCCGUGUGCGGGAGGACGGCCUUCGGGUUGGAAACCGCUUUCGCUCAUGACGAAGCUUUGUGUGACGGUAGUGGGUAAAGAAGCACCGGCUAACUACGUG